CAGAUUGUAAGGAAUCGUACCCCAAACCGACACAGGUGGUCGGGUAGAGAAUACCAAGGCGCUUGAGAGAACUCGGGUGAAGGAACUAGGCAAAAUGGUACCGUAACUUCGGGAGAAGGUACGCUCUCGACGGUGAAGUCCCUCGCGGAUGGAGCUAUUGAGAGUCGCAGAUACCAGGUGGCUGCAACUGUUUAUUAAAAACACAGCACUGUGCAAAAUCGUAAGAUGACGUAUACGGUGUGACGCCUGCCCGGUGCCGGAAGGUUAAUUGAUGGGGUUAGACUUC
rnacentral:rRNA from 1 species